GUCUGUGUUCUGACACCAUCACUGAGUGCCAGAACCAGAAGGGACUGCAAAGGAAUCAGUUUUAUUUAAUCUUUUGAUCUCCGCAGUCCGAGGAGGGCCCGUUCAGAGCUGGGCUACAGGUUCAGAUAGUUACCUAAUGUGUAAUUCGACUCUGGUGUCAUCUAACUAAUGCCACAUGCAUUAUUUUUUGGCCAAUGAAAAAACAAAACAUUAAUACUUAGUGGAAAAUUAUGGUAUUUGCAUUUCUCUGCAUUAUGUGUGUCUACUGAGCUAAGAAGUAUUUUUAACACCUCUUAUACAAUUU